UGUAAACCGUACAAAUAAAUUGUUUCCAAUUAUUUCCAACAAAUUCCUUCGGGGUUCCGGGAUUCCCCUUAUUUCUAACAAAGAAUGCAAAUAAAAUUAACAUUUAAGUUGUAUCCAUUGCCGUAUUUGUUUUGUUAUUUAUGAUAUUUUUCAACAAGUCUGUAGCAAUGUACUUGAAACAUAGCGAUAUGGUAUUACACAGACUGUUAGCUCAUCUAAAGGAAGGUGCUCGCAAUACCGUUAUCGGUGCAUAUAGGGAACGGGUAUAUAAAGUUGUUACUUAAAUCCAUAAUAUCAUACAAAAUUCUAAGACAGAACCAUGAAGGCGUGUUUUGUUUUCGCUGUUCUCUUGGUGGUGGCUUUUGCCACUUUCGCGCAAAGCGAGGAAGUUUCAAAUGUACAAGAGCUUCCUAUACAAAAAAGGCAAAUUAACGUACGAUAUCCGUCUUGCCAGCUAUGGGAGUGCUCAUCAAAUUGUAGAAGGAGAGGCUUUAGAGGAGGAUACUGCGCUUUCACUGGAUGUCAAUGCUAUUGAUCGGUUAAAACAACUCAAAAAAUUUAAACAUUAUCAUAAAAUAUUAACUAGAGGGUUAUAUUUU